rnacentral:lncRNA from 1 species
UUCAGACUGAAGCUUCUUUGUUCCUGCCGGAUGACUCAUGAAUGCCCUUUAAAAGAGAACGAAACAGACGUGUUUUGAUGGGGAAAAUACAUAAAGAAUGCAGUGCAUUUUUCCAAACGGCAGUCAGACCAUCUAAUUUAGGCCAUCAAGGACAAAACCGGCCAAGACUCUCCGGCUGACCUUCCUUUCCCGCGAGGGCCUUGUUGUGGGCCUUGUCGUGGGCCUGGGCUCACUGGUGAGGAACAUACUGACCAAGACGGGAAAAGGAAGACCAGCUUUCCCAGAGCUGUUCAUCUUCCCGGGGUUCCACUUGAAAAGAGGCUUCCUGUUUUUCUAGAAUGUUGUUUUUCUGGGUGCAAACCAUUUUCAGCAGCAGCGUGAUGUAAUAAUCGUCCAAAGAUAAGCACACUUAUCUUGUGCUGAACGUGGUCUCUGUGCAAUGACUCCUUUCCUUCUUAGAACAUUCCAGGUGAAGAACCAAGGCACAGAGAUGGUGAGACACUGGCCCAAGAUCACACAGCUAGGGUACAAGCCAAGAGGCCCGGCUACAGAGUCUGGGCUCUGUGAGGUGGAAAGGACACUCCCCAUGGAGUCAGGAAACCUGCCUAGGCCAACAUCCUUACAGACUGUAGAAUCGCUAAAUAAAAAAGAACACACAUCCAGCAUCCUGAUGCGUGCGAAGUUAGUACUUUUCGUGAGAACCGUCAGUUGGAAGAGGUUAUCCACGACGAAGAGACGAUCAUCAGGAUCUAUGCGCUGAUUAUUUAAUUCACGUGUUAAACCCGACUCAACAGACGGCUAUGAAACGAAACUUAAAACGAUCCUGGUGAGAAACAUUCUUGAAAGUACAAUGCAUUUGAAUCUGCAGGGAACUAACCCCAGAGACUUAAAUACACUGGACACCAAACCGGCACUUGUAACAAUGUUGCCUUCACAUCAGAAACAUUAUCAUAAUUGGUUUCGUGUAAAACACACACCUAAAGACGAGCCAUGGUUUCCCACGAGAGCCCUGGAACGUGUGCCAGAUGAGCUCUUUAAUUGAACGUAUUUUAGAAGAGGCAGAACAGCCUGGAGGCCGAGCGCUGUGUCACUAGCUCUAACCUUCUCGCCACACUCGUCUUGCACACUCAGCCGGCCUCGGCACAAGGUAUCUCUCUGUUGCAAGAACUGCCAUGCUAUAAAACUCCAGAGAAUGACGAAAAGCCAGCAAUCUGCCUUUCUGAUUGCUGCCAAAGAAUGCAUUUCAGAUUUUAUUGCCUAUGAAGAUAAAAUCAAACAUUGCUUUGGCCGCUGGAUGUUGCUCUGCUAAUUCGAUGCCCUCCUACCUCGUGUGUGCUUGUACAGUGUGUGGGUGGCCACUUGUCUGCCUCUUAAUUUGCUGACCACUGGGGCAGAGGCCAAGGCUUUGUAUAAGCUUUCUCCAGAACCUGUGCCAAGAGACGUUCUCGAAUAAUUAACUCCUGAUGCUCUGCCCUUCAUUUUCACUGCUUCCUAACAUUUGCAUCCUUCUA